AUACGUAGGGGGCGAGCGUUGUCCGGAAUGAUUGGGCGUAAAGAGCGCGUAGGCGGCGCGGUAAGUCUGGAGUGAAAGACCUGGGUUCAAGGUGGGAAUUGCUUUGGAUACUGCCGCGCUUGAGUGCAGAAGAGGUUAGCGGAAUUUCCGGUGUAGCGGUGAAAUGCGUAGAGAUCGGGAGGAACACCAGUGGCGAAGGCGGGUAACUGGACUGCAACUGACGCUGAGGCGCGAAAGUGUGGGGAGCAAACAGGAUUAGAUACCCUGGUAGUCCACACUGUAAACGAUGAAUGCUAGGUGUAAGAGGUAUCGACCCCUUUUGUGCCGGAGUCAACACAAUAAGCAUUCCGCCUGGGGAGUACGGCCGCAAGGUUGAAACUCAAAGGAAUUGACGGGG
rnacentral:rRNA from 1 species